rnacentral:rRNA from 1 species
UACGGGGGGGGGCAAGCGGUUGUUCGGAAUUACUGGGCGUAAAGGGCUCGUAGGCGGCCAACUAAGUCGGAUGUGAAAUCCCCAGGCUUAACCUGGGAACUGCAUCCGAUACUGGAUGGCUUGAAUCCGGGAGAGGGAUGCGGAAUUCCAGGUGUAGCGGUGAAAUGCGUAGAUAUCUGGAGGAACACCGGUGGCGAAGGCGGCAUCCUGGACCGGCAUUGACGCUGAGGAGCGAAAGCCAGGGGAGCAAACGGG